rnacentral:rRNA from 1 species
GAUGAACGCUGGCGGCGUGCUUAACACAUGCAAGUCGAACGGAAAGGCCCAAGCUUGCUUGGGUACUCGAGUGGCGAACGGGUGAGUAACACGUGGGUGAUCUGCCCUGCACUUCGGGAUAAGCCUGGGAAACUGGGUCUAAUACCGGAUAGGACCACAUUUUGGAUGGUGUGGUAGAAAGUUUUUCGGUGUGGGAUGAGCUCGCGGCCUAUCAGCUUGUUGGUGGGGUAAUGGCCUACCAAGGCGUCGACGGGUAGCCGGCCUGAGAGGGUGUACGGCCACAUUGGGACUGAGAUACGGCCCAGACUCCUACGGGAGGCAGCAGUGGGGAAUAUUGCACAAUGGGCGCAAGCCUGAUGCAGCGACGCCGCGUGGGGGAUGACGGCCUUCGGGUUGUAAACUCCUUUCGCUAGGGACGAAGCGUUAUGUGACGGUACCUGGAGAAGAAGCACCGGCUAACUACGUG